GAUGAACGCUGGCGGCGUGCCUAAUACAUGCAAGUCGAGCGAACGGACGAGAAGCUUGCUUCCCUGAUGUUAGCGGCGGACGGGUGAGUAACACGUGGAUAACCUACCUAUAAGACUGGGAGAACUUCGUGAAACCGGUGCUAAUACCGGAUAAUAUUUUGAACCGCAUGGUUCAAAAGUGAAAGGCGGUCUUGCUGUCACUUAUAGAUGGAUCCGCGCUGCAUUAGCUAGUUGGUAAGGUAACGGCUUACCAAGGCAACGAUGCAUAGCCGACCUGAGAGGGUGAUCGGCCACACUGGAACUGAGACACGGUCCAGACUCCUACGGGAGGCAGCAGUAGGGAAUCUUGCGCAAUGGGCGAAAGCCUGACGGAGCAACGCCGCGUGAGUGAUGAAGGUCUUCGGAUCGUAAAACUCUGUUAUUAGGGAAGAACAUAUGUGUAAGUAACUGUGCACAUCUUGACGGUACCUAAUCAGAAAGCCACGGCUAACUACGUG
rnacentral:rRNA from 1 species